rnacentral:rRNA from 1 species
CCUACGGGAGGCUGCAGUAGGGAAUUUUCGUCAAUGGGCGCAAGCCUGAACGAGCGAUGCCGCGUGAGUGAAGAAGGCCUUCGGGUCGUAAAGCUCUGUUGCGGGGGAAAAAAGGCAGCAUCAGGAAAUGGGUGCUGACUGAUGGUGCCCCGCCAGAAAGUCACGGCUAACUCCGUGCCAGCAGCCGCGGUAAUACGGGGGAUGCAAGCGUUAUCCGGAUUUAUUGGGUUUAAAGGGUGCGUAGGCUGUGAGGUAAGUCAGCGGUGAAAUGCCCCCGCUCAACGGGGUGAAGUGCCAUUGAUACUGCCUUGCUGGAAUGCGGAUGCCGUGGGAGGAAUGUGUGGUGUAGCGGUGAAAUGCAUAGAUAUCACACAGAACACCGAUUGCGAAGGCAUCUCACGAAUCCGCGAUUGACGCUGAUGCACGAAAGCGUGGGUAUCAAACAGGAUUAGAUACCCCGGUAGUC